UCCCCAGCUGCAACACAGACAGAGAGGGGGCGUGACACGGAGGCCUGUCCCGGGAGCGCUUGGCCUCACAGCUCUCGUCUCGGUUCAGAGAGCAGCGUUCAGAAACCUGGCCAGGAAGUCACGUCUGGGACACCAUCUGAUGAGCUGACUGUGAGAGAACGAGGGGGGUGCCAAGGACGACUCUGCCGUCUCCUCGCCUGUCCAUCCAUCCUCCCUGCUGACCCCCUCGCCUGUCCAUCCAUCCUCCCUGCUGACCCCCUGGGCCCCGGGCCACCUCCAGUUUCAUCAGGUAAAAGGACAGUAACCCACAAAUGCAGAAUGGCCUUACCGGUCUCUAGGAAUAUAAUUUCAAAUCACCAAAUACACAUUCUGAAUUUUCUUUAGUUGACUACACUUUUGGUCAUUUUCCACUGUAGUACAACUGGCAGGAUUAAUAGUUUGUGUUGGAAGAGUGAUUCUUGUGAAGACACGUCCGUCACUAUCCCUCUUAAAAACUCAGCUCUAAUCGAGCAGGAUCGUGAGUAACCUCAUGGUGAAGGCCUUCGUUACAAAGCAGGAAUGGAGACGUCGGUGGAAAGAGCUGCUUCUGCUGGUGGCUGCAGUGAGGUACCUCCCCCGGGGGGGGAUCCAGGGACUGGGACGGGGCCUCUGAGAGUGUCUGCUCCCCAGGGGUGCAGACUGAGCGCACUGGCGAGGCGGGCGUGCAUGCAUCAGGCCCAGGAGCGCUGCGAGGGUGGGGCCCUGGGGUGCUCUCCUCCCUGUGGCCCCGGGAUCCUUCCGUGAGGUUUCUCAGAGGGACCGAGCCUGCCGAGUCAUCUUCCUGGAACUCGGCCCUCAGGCCCCCCUUCUAUCAAGUGAGGGAUGGCAGAAUUUGUUUUCUGCGCUCCCCAGAUAAAGGAUUCUUAAAAUAGAAUUGCGGAUGGUAGGCUUUUUUUUUUAAGGUGCUGGGCCAGUGGCUGUGAAGCUAAAAGCCCCACUGGGCCCUACUCUUCUGGCGUGUGCCGCGCCCUUUGGUGCAGAGCCGUGCGGCCGGGGGUGGGUGAGUGUGGGGUCGUUGGGCGGGCCCCUGUGUGAGCAGACCUGCUGAUGUCUAACCCAGGUCACCUGGCAGGGCCGGGGCCACUUAAGGGACUGUGUUCAUAAACAGGAGGCAGCAGCGGUGAUGCAUGUGUGGUAGCAGACGCAGAGCGAAUCCGUUCGUGACCAUGAGGCCACCUCUGUGAACCUGCUUUUGGGGACAGGGCCCAGGCCUUCCCAGUGCCUCUGUCCCUGUAACUCCCUCAUGCAUGUGUUCUGGGCACUGAGCAUCACCUAGGAGACAAUCGGGGGCUCAGCUGUUUUUCCUCACAGGUUGGAUGGGGACAAGUGUCCUGGACACCACUCAUGCAUGUCAGCCCAGGACUGGCAUUUCCGCCCACCUGUGUCCUGUCUUCCGCAGGCCGAGAAAGCAGCUCGUUUCCAGCCAUAAGCUGAUACCCAGAGCUUCUGUUUACGUAAGCGCCUUGGCCAGAGGGAUGGGCGCCUUGGCCAGGCUACGUCUCUGACCCUGGGAACACCUGUGGCUAGGACGGAGAUGGUGCUGGCUGCUUCAGAAGCCUGCUGGGCCCACUGGCCCCUGGGACAAGGCUGAAAAUCUUUUCAGAACUCCACCAGCAGGUUCUGAGCCAGUGACUGCAGUUGCCAAGGCCAGGGAUCACCUGUGACAAGCAAGGCCAGGUGUCCCAGGUGUUUGAGGGCGGAGUCUACAGGACGAGGAAGGACCCCGGCCCCACAGGAAAGCACAGGCCAGGAAGGAGAAGCUGCAGGUGGGCGCCGGCCUGUGAGUCCGACAGCUGUGUCACGGCCAAGUGUCUGACCCCCAUGCUGCACACGGGCACGGCUGCCUCCGAGGUGUCAGCCUGGUGCGAAGCUGCGGUACACACGGCGGGACUGGAAACCAGGGCACAAACAGGAAUGAAACCUCCUCUGUGGGGUCCAGCACAAUACUGAGGAGCUGCAAGAGGCCUGCUACUCGUGUGCCAGGAACAAGCAAACAGACCUCGGUAUGAGCAGAGGGACCAGCAGAGUGCUGGCCCGGGCAGGCACCCACAGACGAGAGAGAAACUGCAGGAGUCUAGCCUUCCCAAGGGGAGAAUGCCACCAUGCUGUCGGAACAAAGGAGAGUCCCUCAGAAUGAGAUUGGAUGCAGCAGAGAGGGUGAGAACUUCACCAGCACCACACUGCCCCCCCCCCCCCCCCCCCACUCCAGCAACAGUGUGGUGGUGGAACCAUACCUUCCCCGGCUACGAGUGUGGGGCUGGAGAAGUCCCUCUCUCUCCAGUGCACCCAGAGUACUGAGGCAGGACCUCGAUGACUGGGAGGAGGAAGAAGACUGGGAAAGAGCAGGUAAGCCUCGUGCUGACCUUGCUGAGCAGCAAGUGUACCCAGGACUGUCUGGAAGUACCACAGCUGGGGAUCCCGCACUCACCUGCAGGC